CGUUUUCUCACUAGUGCAACUUUGGAUUUUUUAUGAGACUUUUGGUACCUUAGUGAACACCUCGCUCCAUGCUGGAAGCAUAAGCACAGAGCUUUUAAAGACACUCUGACUUGACUAAUUGAGGUCGCACUCGCCAAGGCUGAGGAUGUGUAACCCUUAAACGGUCUUCAUUUUCAAAGGAAAUGUUGACCACCUUGGACUGUCAGAGGAGCUCCGUGUGACUUAGAGCAAACAAAGGAACUGCUUCUGGGAAGGCUGCUUACGGACGGUCACCUCACCCUCGUGCCUACUCAGCAAAUGAACCACCGGCUCUCGAACUUGACAGUCAUCAAUCGAUUAUUAUUGUUUUGUCCCAGAUUUAUGGUUUUUGGAAUGCUUUUAUGAAACUGUGCUUUUUUUUAAUUUAGAAGGUUUUUAUUUCUUCUUAAAGAAAAUUCUAUUUUGUUGUGUGAGAAACAAAAACUGAUUUGUAUUGUAACUAAUAAAGGCUCCCCAUCAAAA
ensembl:lncRNA